CUGUGCUAAGAGAAGGCAGAGAAGAUGUUGUUGAAUUUGUGAAUGGUGCAAGUCUCUAACGGAUGCUAUUUGGAUGAAAGAAUUAGUGUUCCGUAAGAUCUUGAAAAGGACUGAGAAGUGCAAAAAUACCGAGAAAGAAGAAUUUCACAGGAAUAAGAUGAUGCUUCAUAAUGUUUUGUAACAUUAGAUCAUCUUUCUUCCUGAAUUCAUUGCUUGCAUCCUGGGUAUGGCUGAGAUGAUGAGAAUAAGAUGGCAGUGAAGAAAUAAAAUGAAGGAACAGGAAAUUCAUGGUUGACGUUCAAACCUGCUAGUAAGUUAUGUCCCUGACCAGUGCCUCCUCCUUUACUAUCCUCU
rnacentral:lncRNA from 1 species